GAAAAAUAUAAAAUGUGGAAAUCACAAAAUGAAGAGGUGACAUCGAUGAAAUACGCUCAGUGGCAGAGGUGACGUGGACAAAAUCAGAAAGGACAGCACAGAAAAGGCAGGUACCAACUGACAACAAAAGAAGAAAGCUGAUUGGUGGAAAGACCUGUCAGUCACUCCUGAGUGGACUGUUGAGGACAGCUGUGGCUUGCAGACUUCAGAGUUCAGGUGUUUUUGUUAUUUAACAGUUAGAAUGUUCUGAAACUGUAAUGUCAUCGCAAAGAUCACACAAACAUGUAAUGUGACAUUUGUGAUCAAUCACUUUUGUUGAUUUUUAUGUCACCAUUCAUCAGCCCUGUAUAGAGUGCCACUUCCAGAUCAGCAAACCCACUGCACCCCGUAGCACAUUUGGAGUUUGGGACUGGAGCACAAAGUGGAUGGCACUCUGAGAAGGACAGACUUGUAAGACGUGAACAAAGCCAGCUGCCCUCCCUGGUCUGUCUUCAUUCAGAAGGACUCACCUGAGUGGUGGGAUUGUUCUGCGGUGCUCCUGUUAGCCGACAUUUCAUCAGCUUGCUUUCUGCGUUUCAUCUGAUAACCAGCAGAGUUAAUCAAAGAUGAGCCAGGCCUGUUACAAUGUGAACGUUCUUGACAUUU